UUAUAAGCUGCUUUAAUACUACUGUUGACUGGGGAGGUUUUAAUUUGAAAAGGGCACUCCCAAGGGGUGUCUGUAUGAAGAUGAAACCUUAUUUAGCUUGAGAAGAAAAGGCAUCAGCCACAGCUCCCAUGUCUCUUGUGUUAGAUGCAAGAGGAUGUUAGAAGUCCAUCUCCCCUCCUUUCCUCAGCAGCAGUACUCAUUUUACUGUAGGUGUUGCUGCUGCAGGUACAGCUACACCAAGUUCAACCUUCUGUAGCUAUAAGGACCUACCCUGCAGUAUGAUCUUAGUCUAAAGGUAGAGUAUACAACUCACAACAUUUCUUCAUCAGUGUAUAAACACCAGAUGCUUGGCUGGCUUUCCCUUUCAGGAAAGCAAGAGGGAUGGGGAAGAAGAUGGAGAGCUGAAACUGCUUCACAUGCCUUGUCACAGUGAAUUGCCUGGGUUUAGUACCAGGUGGAAGGUUAAUUAUUGUAUUUUGUGUCUUGCUUUCUGUCUUACUUCCAAGGAACAUCAGAGGAGGAGGAAGGACAAGGAUCUAUGAGGCAUUGAUCAUUGAAGAGUAUAGCUGAGGAGAAAAGGAUGAAAAUAUUAAUUUAUUACCAAAGUGGGGAUGAAUUGUGUUUGAACCCAGAGGUUAAAAGUACUACAGUUUGUUUGUGUCCUGAGACAACCACUAUUCCUGGUGCUGAGCUCUCCACAGUAGCAUAGGAUUGAGAGACACCAUACAGAUAAAAUUUUAUCCUUGGAGUCCUGCUAGAGUGUGUUGGAGGCUGAAUCUGAUGCAUGUGACCUUGGCAUGUGACCCUGUCACACCUCUUGACCCCAGAACUGAAACUUACUCUAGACUGGUAAUACCCAUAUUGCAGAAGAGAUCACCCAGGCUAUUUUGUACCCAGAAAAAGCAUUCAAUAAAUGUUUGAUCUGGCAGAGCAUUUAACAUCUGCCCAAACAUAGAUUUACGGGGUUACGUGAUGCUAUGUGCUGCAGCAGACGGAAUCACGAUUGUGAGCCUGGGUUUCUGAAAAGCAAAGAAAACACGUGGAUUUACCAUACUACUGAUUUGUGUGGACAUGCUAACAGCCAGGACAAAAAUGUCAAUUUUCCUGCAGAACUGGUGCCAGGACAUCAUGCUGCACUCUGGCUGAAAAGACAUCCCAGUGCCUGGAGCAACACAGUCCUUUCUGUCCAUUACUGCUGGAAAUUCUGCCAGGGAAUUUCACUUUUAGAAUACAAAUAACUGCAGCCUUCAGUGCCUUUGAAGGGGACGGCCUUGCUGCUCUUCCCUUGCUCUUUUAUGGACUUACUUGGCAGAUGAAAGUUAUCUCCAUCAAGGAAAUAGUCUUGGGUUUGGCCACUUUUGAUUUGUAAUGUAUUUGAUAUUGUUUAUAACACUGCUAAAUAAACAGAAUGAUUACCAUGGAUUUGACUCCCUCUAAAACAGAAGGAAAUACUGUGUUACAUGGAAAUACAUGUAAUUUACGUUUAAUAAUUAGUACUUAUUAUGCAG
rnacentral:lncRNA from 1 species